CGGGUAGAGUAACACGUAAACAACCUGCCUUCAGGAUGGGGACAACAGACGGAAACGACUGCUAAUACCGAAUAAGUUCCAAGAGCCGCAUGGCCCAUGGAAGAAAAGGUGGCCUCUACCUGUAAGCUAUCGCCUGAAGAGGGGUUUGCGUCUGAUUAGCUGGUUGGAGGGGUAACGGCCCACCAAGGCGACGAUCAGUAGCCGGCCUGAGAGGGUGAACGGCCACAUUGGGACUGAGACACGGCCCAAACUCCUACGGGAGGCAGCAUG
rnacentral:rRNA from 1 species